rnacentral:rRNA from 1 species
AUUGAACGCUGGCGGCAGGCCUAACACAUGCAAGUCGAGCGGAGCGGCGGUCGGGUGAGUAUUGCCUAGGAAUCUGCAUGGUCGUGGGGGAUGACGUCCGGUACCGGGCGCUAAUACUGCAUACUAUCAGCAGAGCCUAGGGCGGAUUAGCUGGUUGGUGGGGUAAAGGCCUACCCAGGCGAAGAUCCGUCACUGGUCUGAGAGGAUGAUCAGUCACACUGGAACUGAGACACGGUCCAGACUCCUACGGGAGGCAGCAGUGGGGAAUAUUGGACAAUGGGCGAAAGCCUGAUGCAGCCAUGCCGCGUGUGUGAAGAAGGUCUUCGGAUUGUAAAGCACUUUAAGUUGGGAGGCGUUACCAACAGAAUAAGCACCGGCUAACUUCGUGCCAGCAGCCGCGGUAAUUC